rnacentral:rRNA from 1 species
GCAUUGGUUCUUAGAUCGUACCCACGUUACUUGGAUAACUGUGGUAAUUCUAGAGCUAAUACAUGCCGACAGAGUUCCGACCAACUGUACGGAUUUGGCGGCAGUUUCGGCUGUCGUCGCCGUACGGUUCGGAAGGAACGCUUUUAUUAGAUCAAAACCGGCUAAACGGCGGUUUCGCUUUCGGGCGUCUCCGUCGUAAGCGGCCCGCGCAAAGAUUUGGUGACUCUGAAUAACUUCGAGCUGAUCGCACGGUCUUUGUACCGGCGACGUAUCUUUCAAAUGUCUGCCUUAUCAACUGUCGACGGUAGGUUCGACGCCUACCGUGGUGGUAACGGGUAACGGGGAAUCAGGGUUCGAUUCCGGAGAGGGAGCCUGAGAAACGGCUACCACAUCCAAGGAAGGCAGCAGGCGCGCAAAUUACCCACUCCCAGCUCGGGGAGGUAGUGACGAAAAAUAACGAUACGGGACUCAUUCGAGGCCCCGUAAUCGAAAGAAAAACCCACUAUAA